CCAGACUCCUACGGGAGGCAGCAGUGGGGAAUAUUGCACAAUGGGGGAAACCCUGAUGCAGCGACGCCGCGUGAGUGAAGAAGUAUUUCGGUAUGUAAAGCUCUAUCAGCAGGAACGAGACAAGACGGUACCUGACUAAGAAGCCCCGGCUAACUGCGUGCCAGCAGCCGCGGUAAUACGUAGGGGGCAAGCGUUAUCCGGAAUCACUGGGUGUAAAGGGAGCGUAGACGGCUGAGCAAGCCUGAAGUGAAAGGCGGGGGCCCAACCCCCGGACUGCUUUGGGAACUGUACGGCUGGAGUGCAGGAGAGGUAAGUGGAAUUCCUAGUGUAGCGGUGAAAUGCGUAGAUAUAAGGAAGAACACCAGUGGCGAAGGCGGAUGACUGGACGGCAACUGACGGUGAGGCGCGAAAGCGUGGGGAGCAAACAGGAUUAGAUACCCGAGUA
rnacentral:rRNA from 1 species